rnacentral:rRNA from 1 species
CCCUUAGAUGUCCUGGGCCGCACGCGCGUUACACUGAUGCAUUCAACGAGUUUCACCUUGGCCGAGAGGCCUGGGCAAUCUUUUAAACCUGCAUCGUGAUAGGGAUAGAUUAUUGCAAUUAUUAAUCUUGAACGAGGAAUUCCUAGUAAACGCAAAUCAUCAAUUUGCAUUGAUUACGUCCCUGCCCUUUGUACACACCGCCCGUCGCACCUACCGAUUGAAUGAUCCGAUGAAUAUCAUGGAUUGAGGAUUAUAGCAGGUUCGCCUGUCUUGAUCUUCGAGAAGUGAAGUAAAUCUUAUCAUUUAGAGGAAGGAGAAGUCGUAACA